rnacentral:rRNA from 1 species
UACGUAGGGUGCGAGCGUUAAUCGGAAUACUGGGCGUAAAGCGUGCGCAGGCGGUGAUGUAAGACAGGUGUGAAAUCCCCGGGCUUAACCUGGGAACUGCAUUUGUGACUGCAUCGCUGGAGUGCGGCAGAGGGGGGAUGGAAUUCCGCGUGUAGCAGUGAAAUGCGUAGAUAUGCGGAGGAACACCGAUGGCGAAGGCAAUCCC